CCUUCUGCUCACCGCCGUGACGUCACUCAACAACAACGCUACCGCAGUCAGGCAGUUCGGGCAGGAGGAUGAAGAGCACAGCGCGCGCUCUGCCGGUUACAGCCGUUAUAACGACAUUCAAACUAACGAAUAUCCAAUUGCAUUACGCUUCCUCUCUACUGAUGUUGAUCUCCACCCUGGUUGAGGAGAGCCGAGACUGACACAGAAUAGGACGUCAAACAAGCUCAUGAUCAGCUGUUAUCUUUCUCCUCUUCCUCCUCAUUCUCCUCCUCCUCAUCUUCUGAUGUCUCUGCAUCAUCACUUUCAUCUUCAUCCACCCUACAUACGGUUAAGAAAAUGCAGACCACACAUAAAUAUGCAAUUAUGUCCUUUUCAUGUCUUACGUUGUCAAGAAGUAAAUAAAUAUGCUUUUUGCGCUCUG